GCCCAGUCUUACUCUAUUAAAAGAAAAAUUAUGUACUCUUAAAAUUUACAGUCAAUUUUUCACAACCCUCACUCAAGUUACAAAUUUUUUUAUUCUCAUCCCUAAAAUCAUCAAUAGAAUCAUAAAUAAUCAGACAAUUAAGAGAGAUUUUUAUGGAAAGGAAAAGGGAAGACCCAUUCACAAUUCUGGAUCUCCAAAACCGUAAGUUGAAUUUCAUCUUGAAGCUUGAUGACUUUCUCCCUCCAUUUGCACCUCUUGGCUGAAAUUCAAGAUGUCCCAUCUUCCUCUCUUUGCUUUUCUUCAAUCACUUAGGAGGUGUUGGGAUAAAAUCUUUAGUAAAAGAUCUACUAUGGAGGAAGAAGAUAUGAUUUAUAGAGUGA
rnacentral:misc_RNA from 1 species